rnacentral:rRNA from 1 species
UGGGGGAUAUUGCACAAUGGGCGAAAGCCUGAUGCAGCGACGCCGCGUGGGGGAUGAAGGCCUUCGGGUUGUAAACUUCUUUUGCUCUGAACAAGGCAUGCUAAUGGGUGUGUUGAGUGUAGGGGUUGAUUAUCGCCGGCUAACUACGUGCCAGCAGCCGCGGUAAUACGUAGGGCGCGAGCGGUGUCCGGAAUUAUUGGGCGUAAAGGGCUUGUAGGUGGCUAGUUGCGUCUGUCGUGAAAGCUCAUGGCUUAACUGUGGGUUUGCGGUGGGUACGGGCUGGCUUGAGUGCAGUAGGGGAGGCUGGAAUUCCUGGUGUAGCGGUGGAAUGCGCAGAUAUCAGGAGGAAUACCGGUGGCGAAGGCGGGGCUCUGGGCUGUUACUGACACUGAGGAGCGAAAGCAUGGGGAGCGAACAGG